UAUCACAGCCAUCUUGACGAGU
rnacentral:miRNA from 1 species